rnacentral:ribozyme from 13 species
CAAAUAUAUAUCAACAUCAAAGACACGCCAAAAUAAAAAGAAUGGACUACAAGCUUCACUUCUUUUUUUUCUUUUUUGAUGUUUCCUUUUUCUCG